UGAGGAAGCACAUGUUGCAAAACCAGCAUACGGACAGGAUUUCAACAUCAGUCCACCAACUUCCUAAGAAACCUCAGUUCACCUAUACAGUUUUUUGAAUAUACAAAUGACGGUAGAUCUGACAUCAUCCGUGUUGGAACACACCCCGUCAGCAGUGCCAUUUAGGGCAAGAGCUGAAGAUAACUCUGAACUAGUGGAAACCAGAUGUAUGAGCAGCCCUCUUCACCCCUCUCCUCUUGCUUGUCCAGCCAGUCCGAGUUCACCAUCACCAAGUGUGAAUUUGGCAAUGUCCCCAAGGACACCAACAGCAAGCAUUGACCAGGAGGAUUCAAGCCUGACAAGAUAUGUCAGGUCAAUCCUAAUGAAACUGGACAAAAUUGAGCAGCAUCUUGAGGUCAUUAAUUUUGCAAUAAGCCAUGGCAUUACAUCUCAGGACCCUGAGAUCUUGGGGGACUUUGGAACACUA